rnacentral:rRNA from 1 species
UACGAAGGGGGGCUAGCGUUGCUCGGAAUCACUGGGCGUAAAGCGCACGUAGGCGGAUCUUUAAGUCAGAGGUGAAAUCCCAAGGCUCAACCUUGGAACUGCCUUUGAUACUGGGGAUCUCGAGUCCGGAAGAGGUGAGUGGAACUGCGAGUGUAGGAGGUGAAUUCGUAGAUAUUCGCAAGAACACCAGUGGCGAAGGCGGCUCACUGGCCCGGUACUGACGCUGAGGUGCGAAAGCGUGGGGAGCAAACAGG